rnacentral:sRNA from 1 species
GAGAGAUGCUCUUUCUUGACGGGGAUUACGGACCUUAGACAAGUCGUAUUAUCCCAUGUCAGAGGGGCAUUUCUUUUAUUCCCACACCGUUGGAACCGGAAUCACAUCGGUGAAUCCAG